GGAUGUGAGGGCAAUCUGGCUGUGCCAUCUGUCACCCCAUUGAUCGCCAGGGUUGAUUGGGCUGAUCUGGCUGGCUGGGCGGAUAUCCCCUUCCUCCCUCAAUGAUCCAUGUGUGUCCCUCCCCAAGCUGCACACUGUGGGUGGAAGAGGAGGCCCAUGCCCAAUAGUGGAGGACCGUUCCUUGGUCAAGGGUGUACAAGUAGUUGCGCUCCCCUGCUAGGACCUCCCAACAAGCUCUCAAGGCCCCUUGAUUCAUUCAAGAAAUCUUCAUGAGUUACACUCUCAAAUACAGCAUUUCACUAUUUCUGAGUGGUGGGGUGUGAGUUAGAGUGGUGCAUGUGUGU
rfam:Cavia porcellus supercont2_3 genomic scaffold, whole genome shotgun sequence.